AACAAAAACAUGUCCUUUAGAUUAAUAAUUUAAGGUCUAAUCUGCCCACUGAUUAAUUAAAUGGCCGCAGUAAUUUGACUGUGCAAAGGUAGCAUAAUCAUUAGUUUUUUAAUUAAAAGCUUGUAUGAAUGAUUGGACGAGAUAAAAUCUGUCUCUUAGUUAAAAUUAGAAUUUAAUUUUUAAGUAAAAAAGCUUAAAUUUUUAUAAAAGACGAGAAGACCCUAUAGAUCUUUAUUUAUAAAGUAUAAUUUUUAUAAGGAUUUUUUUAUUUAUUUAUAUUUAAAUAAAUUUUAUUGGGGUAAUAAAAAGAUUAAUAAAAUUCUUUUUUUUUAUUAACAAUUAUAAUUGAUUGUUAGAUCCAUUAUUAGUGAUUAAAAGAUUAAGUUACCUUAGGGAUAACAGCGUAAUUUUUUUAGAGAGUUCAUAUCGAUAAAAAAGAUUGCGACCUCGAUGUUG
rnacentral:rRNA from 1 species